CCAGGAUCUGUGUUUCUGGGGCAGCCGGGGCCCAACCUUGCCAGAGCCCGCCGCCCGCCGCAGCCUGGGCGACUACUGGCUGAGCCCGCAGCGCCACCGUCAGCCGGGCGCCGCCUGGCGCUGGCCGGCGCGCAACCUGCUGCUGCUGCCCGGAGCCACCGGCCUCACCGACGUGCCGUCGGCGCGCUGGCCCUGCUGCUAUGGCGCGCGCCCGCGCCUCACGUGGAAGCACCGGUGGCAGAACAUUAACUACCAGUUCCUGGGCAAGAGGAAGCGACACCUAGUUCCCCUGCGUCCGUGAGAACCGGGACUUGGGGGCACAGGCUUCAGGCUUUUCACAUGAUGAUCCCAAGGCAGACUUGUGCAGGAUGAGCAGAAAGGUGGCCUGGGACUGGCACUGUUGCAUGAUCCACUGUCACCUCUCUAUGGAUGAAGACCGUCUACCUUUCCCCUCCCUCCUGGAGUCUCUGAGUUCCUGUCCUUCAUGCCCUGAAUAAAAUAGCUUCUGCCU